rnacentral:rRNA from 1 species
GACGAACGCUGGCGGCGUGCUUAACACAUGCAAGUCGAACGGAAAGGCCCUGCUUUUGUGGGGUGCUCGAGUGGCGAACGGGUGAGUAACACGUGAGUAACCUGCCCUUGACUUUGGGAUAACUUCAGGAAACUGGGGCUAAUACCGGAUAGGAGCUCCUGCUGCAUGGUGGGGGUUGGAAAGUUUCGGCGGUUGGGGAUGGACUCGCGGCUUAUCAGCUUGUUGGUGGGGUAGCGGCUUACCAAGGCUUUGACGGGUAGCCGGCCUGAGAGGGUGACCGGCCACAUUGGGACUGAGAUACGGCCCAGACUCCUACGGGGGGCAGCAGUGGGGAAUAUUGCACAAUGGGCGGAAGCCUGAUGCAGCAACGCCGCGUGCGGGAUGACGGCCUUCGGGUUGUAAACCGCUUUCGCCUGUGACGAAGCGUGAGUGACGGUAAUGGGUAAAGAAGCACCGGCUAACUACGU